UUGGAGGGCAAGUCUGGUGCCAGCAGCCGCGGUAAUUCCAGCUCCAAUAGCGUAUAUUAAAGUUGUUGCAGUUAAAAAGCUCGUAGUUGAAUUUCGGGAUCAACUUACUGGUCGUGCCUAUGGUACGCACUGGUUUUGUUGGUUUCUCCCUUCUGACGAAUCACGAUGUCAUUAAUUUGAUGUCCUGGGGAAUCAGGACUGUUGCUUUGAAAAAAUUAGAGUGUUUAAAGCAGGC
rnacentral:rRNA from 1 species